AUGAGACUCUUGUUGAGACCUUCCCCAUGCCCAGCUUCAGCGAGCACUGAGGGGGCACGGCCCUGCUGCCAGCCUGGGGGUGCUGGGGAGGGGGCACUGGGACCCUCAGAGCCUUUCCCCUCCCCUUUUCCCGGAUUUUCACCCUUGGGUGCUCCCCCCCUGCUCUCAGUGUUGGGGUACAGAGACCCCCCCCAGACCCUUCCUGGGCUUGCUGCAGCCUCACCUUGCACUUUUCUAUGGGGAGGGGUCGCUAAUAAAAGUGGGGGCAGAGCUUUGGAGGUGUUUGGGCCAUGCUGGAUUUUGGGGAGGGGUCCCUGGAGCCCCUCAGCGAGGCUCUGGUGCCUCAGUUUCCCCAGCCUGAGGGCAGGGGGUGAUGCUGAGCCCUGGGACAUUUGGGGUACAGUGGGGGGACAGCCUGGGGACCCUCCCCUGGUGUCCAGCCAGGCUCUGUCCCACGUCCAGGGCUCUGUCCCGUGUCUGUCCCGUGUCUGUCCCGUGUCCAGGGCUCUGUCUGGUGUCUGUCCCGGCUCUGUCCCGUGUCCCGUGUCUGUCCCAUGUCCUGGCUCUAUCCUGGCUCUCUCCCGUGUCCUGUGUCUGUCCCGUCUCUGCCCCGUGUCUGUCCCGGCUCUGUCCCGUGUCCCUGGUCUGUCCCGUGUCCGGGGCUCUAUCCCGGGCUCUAUCCCGGGUUCUAUCCCGUGUCUGUCCCGGGCUCUGUCCCGUGUCCCGGGCUCUAUCCCGGGCUCUAUCCCGGCUCUGUCCCGCGUUCUAUCCCGUCUCUGUCCCGGGCUCUGUCCCGUGUCCCUGGUCGGUCCCGUGUCCCGGCUCUGUCCCGUGUCUGUCCUGUCCCGUGUCCCUAGUCGUUCCCGUGUCCCGGCUCUGUCCCGUGUCUGUCCCGGCUCUAUCCCGUGUCUGUCCCGGCUCUAUCCCAGCUCUGUCCCGGGCUCUAUCCCGGCUCUGUCCCAUGUCCCGGCUCUGCCCCGUGUGUCCUGUCCCGUGUCACGUCCCCCAGAGGGUCCAGCCCGCCCCCCCCCGUGUCUCUCUGACCCCCGCCCCCCUCGCAGCCGGGACGGGACCCUGGGGCGUGGGAGAGGAAACGGCGCCGGCUGCUCGAGGGGUUUGUGCUGCUGCCAGCGGCGUGUGAGCGUCCCCCGGGGGCCGAGAGGAACAUCCCCGUGCUCGGGGCCUGGGAAAGCAUCAGCGAUCCAGACAUGGCCCUCCAAGGCUCUGGGAAACCAUAAAAGUUUCCAUUUGCUGCUCCCAGGUUUUAGGAAACCCUAA
rnacentral:lncRNA from 1 species